rnacentral:rRNA from 1 species
UAUGUAGGGCGCAAGCGUUGUUCGGAAUUACUAGGUGUAAAGCGUCUGUAGGUGUUCCGAUAAGUUCCGUGUGAAAUCUUCCCGCUUAACGGGAAAACUGCGCGGAAUACUGUCGGGAUUGAGUGCGAGAGAGGAAACUGGAAUUCCCGGUGUAGCAGUGAAAUGCGUAGAUAUCGGGAGGAACACCAAUGGCGAAGGCAGGUUUCUGGCUCGUUACUGACACUGAGAGACGAAAGCGUGGGGAG